GAUGAACGCUGGCGGCGUGCCUAAUACAUGCAAGUCGAGCGAACAGACGAGGAGCUUGCUCCUCUGACGUUAGCGGCGGACGGGUGAGUAACACGUGGAUAACCUACCUAUAAGACUGGGAUAACUUCGGGAAACCGGAGCUAAUACCGGAUAAUAUAUUGAACCGCAUGGUUCAAUAGUGAAAGACGGUUUUGCUGUCACUUAUAGAUGGAUCCGCGCCGCAUUAGCUAGUUGGUAAGGUAACGGCUUACCAAGGCAACGAUGCGUAGCCGACCUGAGAGGGUGAGCGGCCACACUGGAACUGAGACACGGUCCAGACUCCUACGGGAGGCAGCAGUAGGGAAUCUUCCGCAAUGGGCGAAAGCCUGACGGAGCAACGCCGCGUGAGUGAUGAAGGUCUUCGGAUCGUAAAGCUCUGUUAUUAGGGAAGAACAAAUGCGUAAGUAACUAUGCACGUCUUGACGGUACCUAAUCAGAAAGCCACGGCUAACUACGUG
rnacentral:rRNA from 1 species